UAGUAAUCGCAGAUCAGCAUGCUGCGGUGAAUACGUUCCCGGGCCUUGUACACACCGCCCGUCACACCAUGGGAGUUGGAAACGCCCGAAGUCAGUGACCCAACUGUUAAAAGAGGGAGCUGCCGAAGGCGGGGCCGAUAACUGGGGUGAAGUCGUAACAAGGUAUC
rnacentral:rRNA from 1 species